CACCGCCCGUCGCUCCUACCGAUUGAAUGAUCCGGUGAAAUGUUUGGAUCACGGCGACGUGGGCGGUUCACUGCCCGCGACAUCGCGAGAAGUCCAUUGAACCUUAUCAUUUAGAGGAAGGAGAAGUCGUAACAAGGUUUCCGUAGGUGAACCUGCGGAAG
rfam:Capsicum annuum cultivar Zunla-1 unplaced genomic scaffold scaffold998, whole genome shotgun sequence